AGUACAUGGUGAUGUGUUGGCCUCCCUGGCCCCACCAGUGCACCUGGCAGGUGAGAGGGUGGGCUGGACGCUGCUGGUGUGUGUCAUCACUGACCUGGGGAGGGGUCACUUGGAGGUCACCUGGAGGUCACCUGGAGAUGUGAGUCCUGCCAGUGCUCCCUACAGUGUGGCCGGGGAGGAACAGGACAGUGGCCGCAGCGCCGUGGCCAUAGUAACCGUGGCGACCAGCGAAUGGGCAUCAUUCAGCUGCUUUGUCAGUCACCGCCGCCACGCCAGAGUCAUUAGGACACACCAUGCCACCUUCACAGAUGAAGACGAAGAAAGUUGCUAUGAACAUCACAAC